GACAGAGGGUGCAAACGUUGUUCGGAAUUACUGGGCGUAAAGCGUGCGCAGGCGGCCUUGCAAGUCGGGCGUGAAAUCCCACGGCUCAACCGUGGAAGUGCACUCGAAACUGCUUGGCUAGAGUCUUGGAGAGGAAGGCGGAAUGCUUGGUGUAGAGGUGAAAUUCGUAGAUAUUAUUGGGAACACCAAAAGCGAAGGCAGCUUACUGGCACAUUACUGACACUGAAACAUGAAAGCGUGGGUAGCGAAUGGG
rnacentral:rRNA from 1 species